GUGUACAACCAUACCACCCUGAACAUGCCCAAUCUCAUCUGAUCUCAGAAGCUAAGCAGGGUUGGGCCUAGUUAGUACUUGGAUGGAGAUUAUAUGCUUGGGCUAUUACCACAAUUAGGUGAUGGCAAAAC
ensembl:rRNA 5S_rRNA 5S ribosomal RNA